AACGAACGCUGGCGGCAGGCUUAACACAUGCAAGUCGAGCGCCCCGCAAGGGGAGCGGCAGACGGGUGAGUAACGCGUGGGAAUCUACCCAUCCCUACGGAAUAGCUCCGGGAAACUGGAAUUAAUACCGUAUACGCCCUCAGGGGGAAAGAUUUAUCGGGGAUGGAUGAGCCAGCGUGGGAUUAGCUAGUUGGUGGGUUAAAGGCCUACCAAGGCGACGAUCCAUAGCUGGACUGAGAGGAUGAUCCGCCACAUUGGGACUGAGACACGGCCCAAACUCCUACGGGAGGCAGCAGUGGGGAAUAUUGGACAAUGGGGGCAACCCUGAUCCAGCCAUGCCGCGUGAGUGAUGAAGGCCUUAGGGUUGUAAAGCUCUUUCACCGGGGAAGAUAAUGACGGUACCCGGAGAAGAAGCCCCGGCUAACUUCGUGCCAGCAGCCGCCGUAA
rnacentral:rRNA from 1 species